UUUCUAAUCUUAAUAUCAGUGCUGUCCAAAACAGGGGAAAGCCAUGUGUCAUGGGUUAAGCACCACCUCUCCCCCCAACAGGGGACUAUAAGUGGUUGGUCCUAGGAGAGUUUCCCCUGAGAGACCAAUUGCAGCUGUUUUUUCGCUCCUGUGAAAUUAGAUAUCACAACAGCCGGAAGUUGUUGGCAGAGUGUGAGAGUGCCCGAGAGAGAGAGAGAGAGAGAGAGAGAGAGAAGCCCAGGGGUGGCCAGGGUUGGAGGCAGCGUGUAGGAGUGAGUGUGUGUUGUGAGGGAGAGACUCGCAACCAUGAGGUGAGAGGAGGGAGGCCUCCAGCCCCCUAUGCGGGGGGCCAGCCCUCUUCUUCCCCCCCCGGUUAGGCUGAGGGGAGCUUGGAACAGUUUAUAACUGGACCGAGUACCCGUGGCCAAGGCUAGGGGGCUCUUUUUCUUCCCCCACUGCCCAGGGAGGCGGUGGCGUGGACUUAAGCCUCAGUACCGGAGCUGAGCUAGGAGACAGGCCAAGAAGGUGGUCUGAAGCCCAGAGAAAGCAGCUGCGAUCUGUGCAGAAACUGGAAGAACUCCAGGCUGAAGGAAUUGGAGAUGGGCCAAGGAGGCUCGGGGGAGGCUCUAGGCGAGGUUUGGGCGAGGGCAACCAAAAACUGAAAGCUGCAGCAGUUAAGGAAGAGAGGAAGCCAAACCAUCAGGCUUUUUCUGGCCCAGGAAGAGACCUCAGCAGAAGCUGAGGGCUGGUGGGGGUGCAAGAGAAGACCCCUUCCCUGAUACCCCAACAAGAGAGAGACUUUUAACUAUCACCCUGCAAGCUUCUCCUGAACUGAUGUGGGAGGGUCCAAGGGGUGGUAGAGAUUGUGUUAAUAUUGUGUAUAUAAUUGCUUUUUAGUUUCUGUAGUAUUUAUUGUGUAUAGUAAUAAAUUGUAUAUAAUUCCCUUCCCCCAUA